rnacentral:rRNA from 1 species
CUACACAUGCAGUCGAACGGUGANCAGGAGGAGCUUGCUUCUUUGCUGACGAGUGGCGGACGGGUGAGUAAUGUCUGGGAAACUGCCUGAUGGAGGGGGAUAACUACUGGAAACGGUAGCUAAUACCGCAUAACGUCGCAAGACCAAAGAGGGGGACCUUCGGGCCUCUUGCCAUCGGAUGUGCCCAGAUGGGAUUAGCUAGUAGGUGGGGUAACGGCUCACCUAGGCGACGAUCCCUAGCUGGUCUGAGAGGAUGACCAGCCACACUGGAACUGAGACACGGUCCAGACUCCUACGGGAGGCAGCAGUGGGGAAUAUUGCACAAUGGGCGCAAGCCUGAUGCAGCCAUGCCGCGUGUAUGAAGAAGGCCUUCGGGUUGUAAAGUACUUUCAGCGGGGAGGAAGGGAGUAAAGUUAAUACCUUUGCUCAUUGACGUUACCCGCAGAAGAAGCACCGGCUAACUCCGUGCCAGCAGCCGCGGUAAUACGGAGGGUGCAAGCGUUAAUCGGAAUUACUGGGCGUAAAGCGCACGCAGGCGGUUUGUUAAGUCAGAUGUGAAAUCCCCGGGCUCA